GGAGCGGUGGCCGAGUGGUCGAAGGCGCUCGCCUGGAAAGUGAGUAGGGGGUGCAAGCCUCCUCCAGGGUUCGAAUCCCUGCCGCUCCGCCA
rnacentral:tRNA from 1 species